rnacentral:rRNA from 1 species
CAUGUCUUUUUGAGUAUAAUUUAAAGUCUGGCCUGCCCACUGAAUUUUUGAAGGGCCGCGGUAUUUUGACCGUGCGAAGGUAGCAUAAUCAUUAGUUUUUUAAUUGAAAACUGGUAUGAAAGGUUGGAUAAAAAAAUAACUGUCUCAAUUUAAUUUUAUUAGAAUUUUAUUUUUAAGUUAAAAAGCUUAAAUAAUUUUAAAAGACGAGAAGACCCUAUAGAGUUUUAUAUAAAUAAAGAAUUUUUGUUUUUAGAAUUUAAAAUAAAAAUUUUUUUUUAUAUUUGAUUGGGGUGAUUGAAAAAUUUAAUAAACUUUUUUUUUAUUAAUACAUUAAUUUAUGAAUUUUUGAUCCAUUUUUUAUGAUUAUAAGAUAAAAUUACCUUAGGGAUAACAGCGUAAUUUUUUUUAAGAGUUCAAAUCGAAAAAAGAGAUUGCGACCUCGAUGUUGGAUUAAAGUAAGUAUAUGGUGUAGAAGCUAUAAUGCUAGGUCUGUUCGACCUUUAAAUCU